UAGGGAAUCUUCGGCAAUGGGGGGAACCCUGACCGAGCAACGCCGCGUGAGUGAAGAAGGUUUUCGGAUCGUAAAGCUCUGUUGUUAAGGAAGAACGAGUGUGAGAAUGGAAAGUUCAUACUGUGACGGUACUUAACCAGAAAGGGACGGCUAACUACGUGCCAGCAGCCGCGGUAAUACGUAGGUCCCGAGCGUUGUCCGGAUUUAUUGGGCGUAAAGCGAGCGCAGGCGGUUAGAUAAGUCUGAAGUUAAAGGCAGUGGCUCAACCAUUGUAGGCUUUGAAAACUGUUUAACUUGAGUGCAGAAGGGGAGAGUGGAAUUCCAUGUGUAGCGGUGAAAUGCGUAGAUAUAUGGAGGAACACCGGUGGCGAAAGCGGCUCUCUGGUCUGUAACUGACGCGGAGGCUCGAAAGCGUGGGGAGCGAACAGG
rnacentral:rRNA from 1 species